GCUUCUACCUGAUAUCACCUUCGGAGUUCGAGCGCUUUUCUCUCUCCACCAAGUGGCUGGUUGAGCCCCGGUGUUUGGUGGAUUCAGCCAAAGCCAGGAACCACAACCGGCCCAGUAAUGGCAAUAGCACAGGCCCCAAAAGGACCUCCGGCCAAGUCAGGAACUCACGGAGCCAGAGUGAUGGAGCAGAGACGAAGCCCGGCCCAGUGAUGGAGCACGCACUGCUCAGUGACGCCUCAGGGGUCCUAAAGGAAGUCCAGAGCACGCUAGAGGGGGACCAGGGGAGCUGUGGCAAUUGGCGCUCUCACCGUGUGGCUGUGGGUUGCAGGCUGAGCAAUGGCGAAGCAGAGUGAAUGGGACAUCAUCCAGGCUGUAGAACGAACACACACUACUGAGGGCCUUUCCAGCCCGAGCCCGGCCAGGGGCUGCCCGUGCCCUGGUCACCUUCCUGCUGCUGCUCCAGGCUUUAGGAGAGGGGAGCUCCCACCUGGACCGCCCGCCCCUCCUGGGCCCUGUCUGUCUUGAUCCUUUUAUCAAUGUCGCACAGUUUUUAUUUCCACCCCCUUUUGUAGUGGGCUGGGUUUUAAAUUAUAAAUUUUAACGCCUCUGAGU
rnacentral:lncRNA from 1 species